AUUACCUUGACAGAAUUAAUUGUGGUAAAUUUAGAAUUUACUUAUGUAGUAUUUACUACAGGUAAUA
rnacentral:tRNA from 1 species